UUUUUAUACGACCGCAAAAAUUUUAAUUUUUCGUCGUAUAUUGCUAUCACGUUGGCGUCGUCGUUGUCGUCCGAAUACUUUUAGUUUUCGCACUCUAACUUUAGUAAAAGUGAAUAGAAAUCUAUGAAAUUUUAACACAAGGUUUAUGACCACAAAAGGAAGGUUGGGAUUGGUUUUUGGGAGUUUUUGUCCCAACAUUUUAGGAAUUAGGGGCCAAAAAGGGCCCAAAUAAGCAUUUUCUUGGUUUUCGCACUAUAACUUUAGUUUAAGUAAAUAGAAAUUUAUGAAAUUUUGACACAAGGUUUAUGACCACAAAAGGAAGGUUGGGAUUGAUUUUGGGAGUUUUGGUUCCAACAGUUUAGGAAUUAGGGGCCAAAAAAGGGCCCAAGUAAGCAUUAUUCUUGGUUUUCGCACAAUAACUUUAGUAUAAGUAAAUAGAAAUCAAUGAAAUUUAAACACAAGGUUUAUGACCACAAAAGGAAGGUUGGGAUUGAUUUUGGGAGUUUUGGUCCCAACAGUUUAGGAAUAAGGGGC
rnacentral:lncRNA from 1 species